UCCAAUCCUUUGCCAGGAACGGCCCUUCCCGAGCUCCUCGCGUCUCUUUCAACGUCUCUCUCAUCUGUUCACCUUGCUUUCCCGUUUCUUCCAAGUACUCUCAAGCGCUUCCUUUCGCUCAUCCUUGUCCGUAUCCAGCUGCGUAGGUCGGGGUCUUCAAAAUUUCUGGUGUUUUUUUUUACCUUUACAGGAAGCACAAGGCAGUCUGUUGUAGUUGGAGCUCUACCGAGGCUGGCUCCUACGCUCCCAGAAAAGGAAUUUGGUCAAUUAGAGGGCUCCAGAGUAUGCAAUGAGAGGUUACUUGAUAGACAAAAGCAGAUGUAUAUGGUUUUGGUGUGGUGACAUUAGAAAUUGUCAGUGGAAUGAGCAACACUAAUUAUAGGCCCAAGGAGGAAUUUACUUAUUUUCUUGAUUGGCUUAUGUUUUGCAAAAGCAUGGAAAUUUGAAGCAUUUGUUGGCUUGUUGCUACUACGUACAACUAUUGUUGGUGUAACCUGGGAGUGGCAGGCAAGAGCUCUGUGCAAACUUGUUUCUUUG